GCCACUAUAUAAGGCCCAAAGUCAGAUCUGUAGAUCUCUCUGCUCCCCAUCUAACAUCAGUGCCAUGUGUUCCUGAGAAUGGCUGUGGGUUUAGCAGGCUGAGUGAGGCAUUCCAAACAUCCCUCUCCCCACCAUACUAUGCAGCUCCUCCUGAAGGACCCCGAGCCAUUCCCAGGUCAGCCGCUUCAAGAAUCACCACCUUGAGGCCUGUGUGUCCCUGUGAUCCUGGGAGCUGUGUUGUCGGGGACAGUAGCUCCUGGUAGGGUCUCCCAAGGCAAAAUGGUCCCAGGGGAGGGGCCAGACUUGGCAAGAAAAGAGGUGUAGCCCAGAAAAGGGGAAAAUGUGUCCCCCUUCUGGAGCCAGAUCCUGGAGGGGAGCUCGCCAGCGAGUCUCUGGUAGUUGGGCCUUGACCCAUGGGGCUCGGCUGUGGGCUAUCCACUUGCAGGUACAGGCAUUGAGGUCAGGUGCAUUGUGUGCCGAGCAUGCUGACCACUGGCAACAUAGUUUUUGGUUUAUGUAUUGUUUGCAUUGCAGGAAACCUUGGUUCUUAAAUGACAAUAAAACACAAAAAAUCUA